rnacentral:rRNA from 1 species
ACCUCGGAUCAGGUAGGAAUACCCGCUGAACUUAAGCAUAUCAAUAAGCGGAGGAAAAGAAACCAACAGGGAUUGCCUUAGUAACGGCGAGUGAAGCGGCAACAGCUCAAAUUUGAAAUCUGGCCCCCAGGCCCGAGUUGUAAUUUGUAGAGGAUGCUUCUGGCGACGCGCCUUCCGAGUUCCCUGGAACGGGACGCCAAAGAGGGUGAGAGCCCCGUCCGGUCGUGCGCCUAGCCUCUGUGAAGCUCCUUCGACGAGUCGAGUAGUUUGGGAAUGCUGCUCUAAAUGGGAGGUAUACGUCUUCUAAAGCUAAAUACCGGCCAGAGACCGAUAGCGCACAAGUAGAGUGAUCGAAAGAUGAAAAGCACUUUGAAAAGAGGGUUAAAUAGUACGUGAAAUUGCUGAAAGGGAAGCGCUUAUGACCAGACUUGGGCUUGGUGAAUCAUCCGGCGUUCUCGCCGGUGCACUUUGCCGGUCCAGGCCAGCAUCAGUUCGCUCCGGGGGAUAAAGGCUUCGGGAAUGUAGCUCUUUCGGGAGUGUUAUAGACCGUUGCGUAAUACCCUGGGGUGGACUGAGGUACGCGUUCUGCAAGGAUGCUGGCGUAAUGGUCAUCAGUGACCCGUCUUG